GAUGAACGCUGGCGGCGUGCCUAACACAUGCAAGUCGAACGGAGUUAUAUUGGACGGAUCUUCGGAGACAGAAGAUAUAACUUAGUGGCGGACGGGUGAGUAACGCGUGGAGAACCUGGCCCAUACAGGGGGACAGCAGCUGGAAACGGCUGAUAAUACCGCAUAAGACCACGAUACCGCAUGGUAUUGAGGUAAAAGAUUUAUCGGUAUGGGAUGGCUCCGCGUCUGAUUAGCCAGUUGGCGGGGUAACGGCCCACCAAAGCGACGAUCAGUAGCCGGCCUGAGAGGGCGGACGGCCACAUUGGGACUGAGACACGGCCCAGACUCC
rnacentral:rRNA from 1 species